rnacentral:rRNA from 1 species
UACAGAGGGUGCGAGCGUUGUCCGGAAUCACUGGGCGUAAAGGGCGCGUAGGUGGCGCCGCAAGUCCAUGGUGAAAGCUCGAUGCUCAACAUCGAGUCGGCCACGGAGACUGCGGGGCUCGAGCACUGUAGGGGCAGAUGGAAUUCCGGGUGUAGCGGUGGAAUGCGUAGAGAUCCGGAAGAACACCGGUGGCGAAGGCGGUCUGCUGGGCAGUUGCUGACACUGAGGCGCGACAGCGUGGGGAGCGAACAGG